rnacentral:lncRNA from 1 species
GAGAGAGAGAGCAAACAGGAGAAUGAGGGUGCUUUGUUUUGGAACUUUCCAGUUCUGUGGGGGAAAAUUAGCAUGAGGCUGGUUGCCUGACCUGCAGCACCGCUUUAUGCGCAUGAGUAAUUAUUAUUUUUGCUAUUAUUUCUCUUUUGUCUCCCUGGACGACUAAAAAGGCGCUGCGUAAGCAGUAAACCCCGGGAUAAGGUCUAUAACGUGGUCCAAAGAACAGAUUUUCAGUCCCGGGGGUUGAAGGUAAACUCCGGAAAGCAGAGCCACAUUGAGCUGUUGCCACAGCAUGCGAGAACCGAAGGACCUCCGUGGGUCACCUCGGGACUGGAGGCCAAGGAAACGCAGCGUUGGAUGCUGGGGCGGGGCAUCAAGGCCAGACUUGGUUCCUUAAACUUUGACUUGAGUCUAAGUGCUGGCGAAGGAGCACUCGAUCCCAAAAUACCGGGGCUUGGAGUUGUGCAGAUGGCGCUCCGCUGGGGCAUCGUGUCCGUCGGCCUCAUCUCCAGCGACUUCACCACUGUGCCGGGCCCGCUGCCCCGCUCCGACCACCAGUCCUGUAGCCCUAGCCCUGGAGGGUCGGAGGGUCUUAUCCUCCGGCCGGCCGCACCUGCUCCAGCCCCGUGAGUCUGAUCCCGGCGUCCUCCGGGUGGUGGCGGUAGCGGCCCGCGAGCUGAGCCGGGCGCAGGGGUUUGCGCGGAAACACGGCGUCCCCAAGGCGUACGGCUCCCCUGAGGAGCUGGCCAAGGGCCCGAAUGUGGGUGAGUGGCGAGGGUGGCCGGCGCGUCGGCUCCGGGCUGCCCCGUAGGAAACGUGAGGCUCCCCGGGCUAGGGGCCCGCCCGAGGGGCACGAACGGAUUUGAUCUGUCGCGAUAUUCAAUCGAGUCAACCUUCCGCAUCCUUGUGCUUGCGAGGCAGGCGGUAGAACCACUGAACUAAAUCCUCGGCCCAAGUAACACUAUCUUAACAGAGUGGUGCUGCAAGAAAGAAGUUUGAGGUGUACUUCAUACUUAGAGUAUCAGGGAUCGAACACGGGACCUUGUGCUUGCAAGGCAGGCAUGGCGCCACUGAGCUAAGUCAUCUUCUACCUUAGAAGUGGCCUAUAUUGGCACUCAGCACCCUCAGCACAAGGCUUCGGUGCUGAUGUCUCUGGCAGUAGGCAAGGCUGUCCUGUGUGAGAAGCCCAUGGGUAUGAACGCUCCAGAAGUUCGCAAGAUGGUCUCAGAGGCCCAAACCCAAGGUCUCUUCCUUAUGGAGGUGAGGGCCUCAACCAACAUUCACUGUAGCACUGCUUGCCAUUACUAAACAUGGCCACCAGCAGACGUUUUUGGAGAACCAAGGCAUCUUCCACAGUCGAGAUGGCCACAGGAAUGGAGCAGGGUCAGUUGGGGGUAUAGUUGAAUGUACUGGCCACACCCAUUGAGAGCACAAACCAAAGUUCAGUGCUUGCCACUCUAACAGGCCAUGACUCAAAGACAAGUUGUUGAGGCAAAGAGAAAGAGUUGUUUGGAAAGCUAGCAAACUAAAGAAGAUGGAAGCUGACAUCAACCAAGACCAUCUUGUUUAGAGGUUGCAGGGAAAAGGCUUAUCUAGGGAGUUUUGUGGAAGUAGAUCCCAGUAGGAGGGCACCAAGGUAUUUCCAAAUUCCAGAGUAGUUACAGAUUAUGGGGUCUGCUGUUUUGUGUAGGUAACUGGAUGCUCUGGGUUCUGUAAAUCUAAAGAAAGUUACUGACCCAUAAGCACAGCAUUUAGGGAGGCUGAGAUGGGGGAUCAAGUCCUGCCCAGGCAACACAACAAGACUCUGUCUUAAAUUUGUAAGAAGAGUAGGGUUGGGUGUAACUCCAUUGGAGAGAGCCCCUGGUCAAUCCCUACCACAAGGAAGAACAGAGAAAGGAAAGGAGAGAGGGAGGAAGAAAGAAAGGGAGGGAAAAAGAAAGGGAGAAAGGAGGAAAGAAAAAAGAAAUUGAGUAGGAAGUCUCACGGCUCGUCUUUUUAGUUCCUUUUCUGAGGACUAGCUAAUUCUCCAGUGUACCUGGAUAUCAAAGGUAUCCUUUCCAUGGGGAAGAGGGGAAGAUAGCAAAAGGCAACUUUUCUCUGGAAGACCAGGGAAGAUAAAGAAAAGCAAUUUUUCCCGAGGACGGAGGACGGAGGAGUCACAUUCCCUGGAGAAGUUUUUAACCCAUUGUGUAGAGUGUGUCACCACAGCAAAGCUAAAACUAAUAGUGUAUCUUCCAGCUGUGUGACUCCUAAAAUCAGUGAUGGUUUGUUUGUUUUUUGAGACAAAAUCUCACUAUACGGUUUAGGCUGGUCUUGAACUCAUAGUGAUCCACCUGCCUCAGUGCCAUGCCCAGUAAAAUUAGUGAUUGGGGGGUGGGUGUUUUUUGGGGAGGUUUUUUGGUACCAGGUACUGAACUCGGGACCUUGCCCUUUCGAGGCAGGCAGCAGAAC